CGGGGAAAGAUCCUUUGGAAUCCGCCUUUGAGUCUGAGCGAACUCUCUCUUCGGAGGGAGGAAUUCUCGGAUAAGGGCUUUACGACCGCGAGGUUCUGAGGCUUAAAGGGGGCAAUCCCUCCUGCUCAUCGAUGAGCCAAAGUCGGAUUAGGUAGUUGGGGUGGGAAGGGCUCCCCAAGCCGAUGAUCCGUAGCGAGUUUGGAAGAACGGCUCGCUCCAGUGGGACUGAGACACGGCCCACACUCUUUUAGAGGCAGCAGUGAAGAAUCAUAGUCAAUGCGCGCAAGCGUGAACUUGCGAUCCGCCAAAUCCGAUGACAGAAUCUU
rnacentral:rRNA from 1 species